UGCUUGCUUGCUUGCUUGCUUUCUUUCUUUCUUUUUCUUCUCUUAAGCAUUAAAAGGAAACUGGAUGUUGAUUUGGGACUUCUCACUUGUUGAUGUUUGCCAGGAUUUAGUGGCCUUGUAUUAAGCGGUGAAAUAAUUCUUGGGGCCCCCUGGGUUACAUUAAUGUUGAAUUAGCUGUAGAGUGCUUUGAGUUUCUAGGAAGUUAAUGUGAAGUAGAGACAGAUCACUUAACACCAGUUAUCUUUCUUUACUUUUGAAUGCUGUCGGGUUGUGUCCUGCCGCGACCAGUCUGACCUGAGGCAUGUUAGAGUGCCUGGCUCACAGCAGAAGUUCAGGAAAUCUAGGGCUCCAUUCCCUCCCGACACCCCAGAAAGACCUUCUUGCCUCAAGAGCAUAAGGUGGCAGAAAUAAGCUCCCCACUCUUUUUCCAAGUAGUCAAUGAAGAAGGCACGAGGAGACUCAGGGAAAAAAUGGUUUUGAGCACAGAAAAAUCUGGCACAACCUUUUUAAUUUUAUAUAUGAGGGAACUGAAGUCGCGAAAGAUUAAGUGCCUUGAUUUGCUCCACGUCUCAGUACUAGUGACAGUUGCAAGUACUAAAAGGGAAGGAAAAGAGUAAGGGAACUAACACUUAUGUAGCAUCAGCAACGUGUUAUCCAGUUAAUGCUCUGAACUGGAUUAAUGCCAUUUGUUGGGAUCAGUAGCAGAUGUCCUUGGAAAAUAAAUGGCAUCAAAGUGCUGAUGCUGACAGGAUGAGAAAGGAACUGUAAAGGGAAGUUCCAAUGAACUGCAGCCCUGAAAAGGUGGGUAAAGAGCAACAAGACACAAUAAUGCUCUUUAUUAAAGCAGUUCUGACCAUCUUGCUUCCCAGGAAAGUUUGGGACAUAACUGCAAGUCAGUGAAUGCGUAUAUUCACAUUUUCAAGGCCACAGUGUGUGGGUAAGAUGGAUGAAAAUUGGGACAGGGGUUACCAUAUUGUCUGCUCUGAUAGCUGUUUUAUAAUUUGGACAUUAUAAGCACCCAAAUACUGAACCAUAUGUGUAUGGCAUAUCCACUCAUGCAUAUUAAAUACUUUCCAUUUAAUUGCAGAAUUUUUAGUAUUUAUAUUAAUGAUAUGGCUUGAAGGGGUUAAUAGGAGAGACAGAAUGCCAUCUGCAAGCUUACUGUGCUGGCAGGUCAUUCAGGAGUGUUAACUGAAAAGAGCCUCUGGAGGUGAGAGAAGACAGGACUAGGGGUAGAGAUAGCCACAGAUUUUUGGCCAAAGGAUGGACAGCCACUGGUCAGCAGAGGUUUUUUUGGUUCCCCACCUUCCCCAUCCCCUCUUUGACAUUCCUGCUAUGUUCCCUUUAGGAGUGCACCUGUUGGGCUUAUUCAAAAGUGUGACUUUUGGUCAACAACAGGCCCAGACCUAGUGCUAAAUCCUCACCAGUGAUUUACCUGAGUGUCACGCCCCCUGCCCCUCCCAACACACACAUACCUCAACACAAACAUACCUCCUCCACAGAGAGCUACCUCCUCUUUGACACACAAUGAGACUUUAGAAGAGGUUGCAGAAGCAAGGUGAUACCAAGAUGAUAAUGAAAUGUGUCAUUUAUUGAACAUCUGUUAGAAGCCAUGCUCUGUACUGUUUUUUUUUUACAUCCUCAGCCUAUGCUGUUUCCCACAUUUUACAAAUCAAGACACUUUCUGAUAAUUAAACCCAAGAUCAGACUACUGAGAAAAGGUGUAAUCAGAUUUGAACCUUGGUUCUUACUGUGAAGUCUAUAAGGUCCCCUCUCAGUUGUACCCACCCCAACACCUCCUGCCCCCACCAGUAGGUAUCACUGAGCAGGAAGGGAGGAGAGAAGCAGGUUAGAAUAAUGAGAGAAGAAAUCUGCAAAGCUUUGGAGUGAAAAAGAGAUUCUAGUGUUGCUUCUUCCCUUUUCUAUUCUUUUUGAAGGAAGCUGGCAGUGACUGCUUAGGACUAGCUCUAGACUUGAAGAAGAGAGGGGAGCCUUAUUUCUGUGGGCACCGCCCUUCUGACCAGAUGACCUCCACUGUAGAUAAGGCCUCUCCCUAGUACUUGAAGCCAGACCAUCACAGGGGUCAAGCCCCAGCAUAGCCCAUCUGAGGAUGUCCUGAGCCUACCAAUGGAAGAGAGGGACUAUACACCAAAGGAGCCGCAGAAUCCAACUAAUAUAUUCCUGCAGGAGCUGGGAAUAUACAUGGAAUGGAAUCCCCAAGGUGCUAGAUACAGAGCAACUGAACAUCAGGUUGGGACUGGGAUUGUUGCUUCUAUAAAUGCAACAGAGGAGAGAGGGGCAUGUGAGGUGAGGGUGUAAGCCAGGGAGUAAUUAUAAGGAUGGACUGGGGAACCCAGCAGGUACAGAAGAAAACAAGAUGCAGGCAGUGAGGUAAGUAGAUUGGAAGUCCCCCUGGGGUUGAAGGGCCACUGGCAUAAGGCUAAAAGAGUGAGCUGGAAAGAUAGGUGGAGGUGACGGAGAGGGAAACUCAAACUCCUGAGCCUGUCAGAGGACAGGGGUCUGACCAGAAGAGGCAGAGCCUCUAAGGACAGGUUGCAUGGACAGAAAAGCACCUAGCAGGUCACCUGAUAGGAAUCUCACUCUUUCAAGGGACACAGAAGUUCUGACACUAACCUGCAGUCACCAUAGAGUCUGGGAAGCCUUGUGGCAUUAAACCUUUAACCCAUCCCUGGAACACUGCCUGUGGAUUUCCUUGACACUGACUUGGGGACUUGGAGCAAGAAUGAUUUGUCUUCAACUUUCUACUGCAUGACAGACCCACAGUUGCUAGACCCUGCAACUACCUUAAGGAAUUUGAGAAUUAAAUGAGCUGAUAGGUAUACAGUGCUCAAAAUAAUGACUGGCAUAUAACUAACUCUCAGUAGGUAUUAACCGUCACUAUCUAGAGAACAAAUAAAAUAGCAACAAUACACACACACACACACACACACACACACAGAGAGAGAGAGAGAGAAAGAGAGAGAGAGAGAGAGAGAGAGAGAGAGAGAGAGAGAGAAUGAGAAUAAGCAAAUCUAUAGAGGCAGAAAGUAGAUAACAGUUGGGGAUUGGAGAGAGCAAUGAGGAUUGAGUGAUAAUUGGUACAACAUUUUUGUGUGUGUUGGGGGGUUGAGUAUAAAAAUUAAAGUAAAAUUAGAUUGUGGUGAUGAUUGCACAAAUUACUUUAAAAACCCCAUAGAAUCGUACACUUUAAAAGGAUGAAUUUUACGGUAUGUGAAUUAUAUCUCAAGAACUGUUUUUUUAAAGAAGCAAUAAUGAAAGUUAUCCCAGAUAAAGCUCUCAGAUUGUUGCUAUUGAGAAUGAUGCUUAUCUUCAUUACUCUUCAAGGGAAUUUUUCUAUAUUAACUUUGUAAUAUCCUGUGGCUCAUUUUUACCAUGCCAGUGAUAGUACCACACAUAUGAGAAUCCCGAGAAAUAUGAAAUCACAGUAUAAAUGAUUGUACAUGCCAGGUGUCUAGGAAGUGUUUAUUUGAAUGCAUUUUAAUUCGUGUAAUUGCAUUUCUUGGAGGGAGCAUUUUCUUCAGUGUCUCAUUCUGUGUUGGCUUUUUUACUAGCCUGUUAUCUACUCACAUAGAGCAAGAAAACCAUGCACUCCUAGGGGAUAGGAAUAAUGCUAAUUUUAUUCAUUUGGCAAUACCAGGGGAAAAGAUAAACUGAUACAGAAAAAAAUAACUGAUACUUUUCUUAGAAAAGAUAUUUUCAUAGAAAUAUCUGCUUGUUUAAUGCCUUUGUCCUGGUUUAGGCUUUAAUGCUUGACUGAAGGUACCCUCAGGCACUCCUCAUUCAUUCAUUCAACAACUAUUCGUUGAACUCCUUCUGUUUACAAGAAAUAGAAUACUGUUGUAAUGUGAGUAGAGAAUUAUCUUAUGAAAAAAUAAAUGUAAUUUAACUUUUUAUAGCUUCUACUUCAAAGCUUCCUAGUGUGUACAUACACAAUGGAGGAGGCCAAAUCUAAACAUAAUUCCAGAAGAAGCGUAAGGGAAUUGAGCAGGUGCCUGGUGGUGGUGGUGGCCAUCAUACAACUCACCCUUGCAGUGACCUCUCAGCAGCCCACCCAGGACUGGCCUUCUCCUUGUGGUUCUCAAACUCGCUGUACAUGAGGACCGCCUGUAGGGCUUGGUUAAAUACAGAUUGCUGUCUUUUCCCUAGAAUUUGAUUCAAGAACUCUAGAAUGGGGCCUAAAAAUGUUCAUGUCUAACAAGUUUCCAUGAGAUGUUGACAGCACUCUUAGAAACGCUCCCCUAGCCGGCACCAUGAGACAGGAGACAUCUUUAGGACCACUGUCUUUCUUCAGCUUCCUUCUUACUUUUUGGUAUGUAUAGGAACUUAUUACUAAAAAGAGCCCCCUACCUUGGACCAAACCCCGUAUUCUGAUAAUUUCCUUUUUUUUCCCCUCAAUACACCCAACUUCUGGGUCCCUUCUAUUCAAGGCCCUGCUUUUUGUAGGGAACAGCCAGCCAAUCUAAUAAAAGAAUCAAAGGAAUGCUUAGUUGUUGCCAAGGCAUUCAUGGGUGACCUUAUGCUAUAAAACUGCUUCCACUUGAUAUUCAGCUUGAAUUUUCUCAGCCUUCCUUCAGGCCAAAUCUGUUGUUCUAUGUAUGACAGCUUUGGCAGUAAUGUCUACACUAAUACUCCAUUUUAAUAGUUUGUUAUCAGUUACAGAAGGCAUAGCUUCAUUAAUAAUUUAUUAAAUUAUUAAAACAAGAGAAAUGUAUCAGUCUCAUAUUCUCAGCAUGGGAAUCAGGCAGUAUCUUUUAAAUGUCUGGCACAUAAAUUCUCCUAAGAUGCUUUAGGAACAGGCUCAUAAGUAGGUCUUACAGCAGAAAUCAGGAUUUGAGCAACGCUUUAAAAUUCUUUGUUGAUACCCAUGCAGGUGGCCUCUGACAAGUUGCUUGACUCCCCCUUAGGAACCAGAGGAGUGCCUUAAGCCAGAAUCCAUGCAGUAGAAUGAACGACAAAUACUGGGAACCAUAAGGCUAACCACCAAAUCAUGAGUAGAGACUGGAUUUUAUCUUACUUUACUUUAUUUUAAUGUUUAUUUAUUUUUGAGAGCAGGCAUGAGCAGGGGAAGGGUAGAGAGAUGGGGAC